GGAAAACACGCGCCCUUUGGUACCAUGGCUUGUUCUUUAAAAAGGUGAUGUCCUGGACAUACGACUCGCUGUUCUCCAGCCCUGUGGUCCGAGAGAGCAGGAAAGGUCCAGGAUCUCUCCUGGGAAGAGUGAGGUAUACCCAGACCACUGAAAAGCCAGCAAGGAUUCACAUCACCUCCAGUUCCUGCCAGACCCAGCUGGACCGCACCUGGCCAGGAGACACAGAACCCUAAGAGGAACAACAGCAUCCCUUGUGGGUAAUUCAGGAUCAAUCAAGUCGGUCAAUGGGAAGCGCUUGGAUGUCCAGUCUCCAGAUGAAGUGGCUGGGAUCUUUC